CCUACGGGUGGCAGCAGUGAGGAAUAUUGGUCAAUGGGCUUACGCCUGAACCAGCCAAGUCGCGUGAGGGAAGAAUGCCCUAUGGGUUGUAAACCUCUUUUGUCAGGGAGCAACGCCGGCUACGUGUCGCCGGACUGAGAGUACCUGAAGAAAAAGCAUCGGCUAACUCCCUGCCAGCAGCCGCGGUAAUACGGGGGAUGCGAGCGUUAUCCGGAUUUAUUGGGUUUAAAGGGUGCGUAGGCGGAAUGCCAAGUCAGCGGUAAAAUCGCGGGGCUCAACCUCGCUCCGCCGUUGAAACUGGCGUGCUUGAGUGGGCGAGAAGUAUGCGGAAUGCGUGGUGUAGCGGUGAAAUGCAUAGAUAUCACGCAGAACUCCGAUUGCGAAGGCAGCAUACCGGCGCCCAACUGACGCUGAAGCACGAAAGCGUGGGUAUCGAACAGGAUUAGAUACCCUGGUAGUC
rnacentral:rRNA from 1 species